GAUGAACGCUGGCGGCGUGCCUAAUACAUGCAAGUCGAGCGAACAGACGAGGAGCUUGCUCCUCUGACGUUAGCGGCGGACGGGUGAGUAACACGUGGAUAACCUACCUAUAAGACUGGGAUAACUUCGGGAAACCGGAGCUAAUACCGGAUAAUAUAUUGAACCGCAUGGUUCAAUAGUGAAAGACGGUUUUGCUGUCACUUAUAGAUGGAUCCGCGCCGCAUUAGCUAGUUGGUAAGGUAACGGCUUACCAAGGCGACGAUCCGUAGCCGACCUGGGAGAGUGAUCGGCGACACUGGGACUGAGACACGGGCCACACUCCGACGGGAGGCCGCAGUAGGGAAUCUUGCGCAAUGGGCGAAAGCCUGACGCAGCAACGCGGGGUGGGUUAUGAAGGCAUUCGGAUCGGAAAACUCUGUGAUUAGGGAAGAAGAACUGCUUAAGUAACUAUGCACGUAUUGACGGUACCUGAGCAGAAAGCCACGGCUAACUCCGUG
rnacentral:rRNA from 1 species